rnacentral:rRNA from 1 species
AGCAGCCGCGGUAAUUCCAGCUCCAAUAGCGUAUAUUAAAGUUGUUGCAGUUAAAAAGCUCGUAGUUGAAUUUCGGGAUUGACGUGAUGGUCAUGCCUUAAGGGGUAUGAACUGUUACAGUUGAUUUCUCACCUUCUGGAGAAACUUGAUGUCCUUUAUUGGGUGUCUUGCGGAUCCAGGACCUUUACCUUGAAAAAAUUAGAGUUUAAAGCAGGCAUUUUUGCUCGAAUACAUUAGCAUGGAAUAAUAGAAUAGGACGGCAUGGUUCUAUUUUGUUGGUUUCUAGGAUCACCGUAAUGAUUAAUAGGGAUAGUUGGGGGCAUUAGUAUUCAAUUGUCAGAGGUGAAAUUCUUGGAUUUAUUGAAGACUAACUACUGCGAAAGCAUUUGCCAAGGAUGUUUUCAUUAAUCAAGAACGAAAGUUAGGGGAUCGAAGACGAUCAGAUACCGUCGUAGUCUUAACCAUAAACUAUGCCGACUAGGAAUCAGACGAUGUUAAUUUUUAAUGUACUCGUUUGGCU